rnacentral:rRNA from 1 species
CUACGGGCGGCACCAGUGGGGAAUAUUGGACAAUGGGGGAAACCCUGAUCCAGCAAUGCCGCGUGUGUGAAGAAGGCCUGCGGGUUGUAAAGCACUUUCGGUUGGGAGGACUGCUUCUAGCACUAAUAUUGUUGGAAGUUGACGUUACCUUCAGAAGAAGCACCGGCUAACUCCGUGCCAGCAGCCGCGGUAAUACGGGGGGUGCAAGCGUUAAUCGGAAUUACUGGGCGUAAAGCGCGCGUAGGCGGCUAGGUCAGUCGGGUGUGAAAGCCCCGGGCUUAACCUGGGAACUGCAUCCGAUACUGUCUAGCUUGAGUACAGGAGAGGAGAGUGGAAUUCCACAUGUAGCGGUGACAUGCGUAGAUAUGUGGAGGAACACCAAUGGCGAAGGCAGCUCUCUGGCCUGAUACUGACGCUGAGGUGCGAAAGCGUGGGGAGCAAACAGGAUUAGAUACCCUAGUAGUC